GGGGUUGUGGCUCAGUGGUAGAGCACUCACCUAGCAUGUGAGAGGCACUGGGUUCAAUCCUCAGUUCCA
rnacentral:tRNA from 1 species